UACAGAGGUCUCAAGCGUUGUUCGGAUUCAUUGGGCGUAAAGGGUGCGUAGGUGGCGCUGUAAGUCGGGUGUGAAAUUUCGGAGCUUAACUCCGAAACUGCAUUCGAUACUGCGGUGCUUGAGGACUGGAGAGGAGACUGGAAUUCAUGGCGUAGCAGUGAAAUGCGUAGAGAUCAUGAGGAAGACCAGUGGCGAAGGCGGGUCUCUGGACAGUUCCUGACACUGAGACACGAAGGCCAGGGGAGCAAACGGG
rnacentral:rRNA from 1 species